rnacentral:rRNA from 1 species
UACGUAGGUGGCAAGCGUUAUCCGGAAUUAUUGGGCGUAAAGAGCGCGCAGGUGGUUAAUUAAGUCUGAUGUGAAAUCCCACGGCUCAACCGUGGAACAGCCCUUGAUACUGCGCGACUUGAAUCCGGGAGAGGGUGGCGGAAUUCCAGGUGUAGGAGUGAAAUCCGUAGAUAUCUGGAGGAACAUCAGUGGCGAAGGCGGCCACCUGGACCGGUAUUGACGCUGAGGCGCGAAAGCGUGGGGAGCAAACAGG